UACAGAGGGGGCAAGCGUUGUUCGGAAUUACUGGGCGUAAAGGGCGCGUAGGCGGCCUGUUAAGUCGAACGUGAAAUCCCCGGGCUCAACCCGGGAACUGCGUCCGAUACUGGCAGGCUUGAAUCCGGGAGAGGGAUGCGGAAUUCCAGGUGUAGCGGUGAAAUGCGUAGAGAUCUGGAGGAACACCGAUGGCGAAGGCAGCCUUCUGGGCCAACACUGACGCUCAUGCACGAAAGCGUGGGGAGCAAACAGG
rnacentral:rRNA from 1 species